UACGGGGGGGGCAAGCGUUGUUCGGAAUUACUGGGCGUAAAGGGCUCGUAGGCGGCCAACUAAGUCAGACGUGAAAUCCCCAGGCUCAACCUGGGAACUGCGUCUGAUACUGGAUGGCUUGAAUUCGGGAGAGGGAUGCAGAAUUCCAGGUGUAGCGGUGAAAUGCGUAGAUAUCUGGAGGAAUACCGGUGGCGAAGGCGGCAUCCUGGACCGACACUGACGCUGAGGAGCGAAAGCUAGGGGAGCAAACGGG
rnacentral:rRNA from 1 species